rnacentral:tRNA from 2 species
GGUGCUGUAGCUCAGGUGGUAGAGCAUCGGACUGAAAAUCCGUGAGUCGGUGGUUCGAGUCCACCCAGCACCACCA